AAUCAACGCUGGCGGCGUGCCUCAGACAUGCAAGUCGAACGCGAAAGUCUCCUUCGGGGGACAAGUAGAGUGGCGCACGGGUGAGUAACACGUAGGUAAUCUACCUUCGGAUGGGGAAUAACAACCGGAAACGGUUGCUAAUACCGCAUAAUGCAGCGGCACCUAAUGGUGACAGUUGUUAAAGCGGGGGAUCGAAAGACCUCGCGUCUGAAGAGGAGCCUGCGGCGGAUUAGCUAGNGGUAAGGUAAUGGCUUACCAAGGCUACGAUCCGUAACCGGCCUGAGAGGGCGGUCGGUCACACUGACACUGACAUACGGGUCAGACUCCUACGGGAGGCAGCAGUCGGGAAUUUUGGGCAAUGGGCGAAAGCCUGACCCAGCAACGCCGCGUGAAGGAUGAAAUCCCUCGGGAUGUAAACUUCGCAAGAACGGGAAGAAUAAGCGAGAGUAAAUAUCUUUCGCGAUGACGGUACCGUUUGUAAGCUCCGGCUAACUCCGUGCCAGCA
rnacentral:rRNA from 1 species